rnacentral:rRNA from 1 species
GGAAGAAAAAUUCGAAACAAGCUUUCGGUAGGCCACCCUGCGGAGGGCCCAUUAAGGAGUUUGGAGAAUGGAUGCUGCCCUUUGUCCAGGUGUUCGUUUUCUUAUGCUCGCUCGUAGAAAUCCACUUGUUUCAGAGUUUAAGGGAGAAAUCUCUACUCUGCUAAUUAUACACUCUUUAAAUAUACUUUGAAUGUUUAUCAAGUCGAAAGACUUUUAAAUUAAUACAACUUUUAACAACGGAUCUCUUGGCUCUCGCAUCGAUGAAGAACGCAGCGAAAUGCGAUAAGUAAUGUGAAUUGCAGAAUUCAACUGUCGCUGAUGAUGCUCGCCGCACCUUGCGCUCCUUGGUAUUCCGAGGAGCACGCCUGUUCGAGUGUCAUGAAGCUCUCAAGCGAUAAUAACUUUAUUGUUGUUGUUUAGCUUGGAUUUGAAACUUUGCUGUGUUAUGCUGCCUGUAGUCGCUGUAGUUAGCCGGCUCUAAUGAAAGACUUGGUUCUUACUCGGUGUGAUAAUUAUCUUACGCUGAGGACAUUUUCUGUAAAAGGAAGAUGGCCAGGACUAUUAUGCUCGCUGAUAGUCUCGUCUCUUCUGACAAACUUUAUUCAAAUCUGACCUCGAAUCAGUGGACUAACCC